rnacentral:lncRNA from 1 species
AUAAUAAUAAUAAUAUUAUUAUUAUUAUUAUUAUUAUUAUUAAUAGCGCAACUAAUGAUGAUAAUAAUAAAAAGAAACUUCAAAUAUCUUAAUGUGGUUUCGCAUUUUUUUAUUUUAGUUACUUAUGGUUUCAAGUAUAUCAAGUUAGUACCCUGUAGUUUCUUGCUUUUUUACUUUAGUACUCUGUAAUUUAAUAUUUUUUAAAAAUUAUAUAUUUCGAAUUCCGAAAUGAAUAAUAAAAAGAGAAAAUUGAAACCACAGGUACUAACUUGAUACAAAAUGAAACAACAUAGUACUAACUUGAUACACUUGAAACUAUAGGGUACUAAAGUGAGAAAAUGCGAAACCACAGGAUACACUUUAAACUACAGAAUAUUAAAGUGAAAAAGUGCGAAACCAAAGAAGGUAUUUAAAAUUUCCCCUAAUAAUAAUAAUAAUAAUAAUAACAAUGGAAUUAUUAGA